GACGAACCGUGCGAACGUUGUUCGGAAUCACUGGGCUUAAGGACGGCGCUGAGAGCGGGCUGUCGCGUCUGGGGUGAAAUCCUCCGGCUCAACCGGGGAAGGGCCUCGGGUACGGACGGCCUCGAGGGGGGUAGGGGCGUGCGGAACUGUGGGUGGAGCGGUGAAAUGCGUUGAUAUCCACAGGAACUCCGGUGGCGAAGGCGGCACGCUGGACCCCUUCUGACGCUGAGGCGCGAAAGCCAGGGGAGCGAACGGG
rnacentral:rRNA from 1 species